rnacentral:rRNA from 1 species
GACGAACGCUGGCGGCGUGCCUAAUACAUGCAAGUAGAACGCUGAAGGAGGAGCUUGCUUCUCUGGAUGAGUUGCGAACGGGUGAGUAACGCGUAGGUAACCUGCCUGGUAGCGGGGGAUAACUAUUGGAAACGAUAGCUAAUACCGCAUAAGAGUAGAUGUUGCAUGACAUUUGCUUAAAAGGUGCAAUUGCAUCACUACCAGAUGGACCUGCGUUGUAUUAGCUAGUUGGUGGGGUAACGGCUCACCAAGGCGACGAUACAUAGCCGACCUGAGAGGGUGGUCGGCCACACUGGGACUGAGACACGGCCCAGACUCCUACGGGAGGCAGCAGUAGGGAAUCGUCGGCAAUGGACGGAAGUCUGACCGAGCAACGCCGCGUGAGUGAAGAAGGUUUUCGGGUCGUAAAGCUCUGUUGUAAGGGAAGAACGAGUGUGAGAGUGGAAAGUUCACACUGUGACGGUAUCUGACCAGAAAGAGACGGCUAACUACGUG